UGGGGAAUAUUGGACAAUGGGGGCAACCCUGAUCCAGCAAUGCCGCGUGAGUGAUGAAGGCCUUAGGGUUGUAAAGCUCUUUUGCCAGGGAAGAUGAUGACUGUACCUGGAGAAUAAGCCCCGGCUAACUUCGUGCCAGCAGCCGCGGUAAUACGAAGGGGGCUAGCGUUGUUCGGAAUUACUGGGCGUAAAGGGCGCGUAGGCGGCCGUUUAAGUUAGGUGUGAAAGUCCUGGGCUCAACCUGGGGACUGCACUUAAUACUGGAUGGCUUGAAUUCGGGAGAGGAUAGCGGAAUUCCCAGUGUAGAGGUGAAAUUCGUAGAUAUUGGGAAGAACACCGGUGGCGAAGGCGGCUAUCUGGACCGACAUUGACGCUGAGGCGCGAAAGCGUGGGGAGCAAACA
rnacentral:rRNA from 2 species